CCUACGGGCGGCAGCAGUGAGGAAUAUUGGUCAAUGGACGAGAGUCUGAACCAGCCAAGUAGCGUGAAGGAUGACUGCCCUAUGGGUUGUAAACUUCGUUUAUAAAGGAAUAAAACGAGGCACGUGUGCCUUUUUGCAUGUACUUUAUGAAUAAGGAUCGGCUAACUCCGUGCCAGCAGCCGCGGUAAUACGGAGGAUCCGAGCGUUAUCCGGAUUUAGUGGGUUUAAAGGGAGCGUAGAUGGGUUGUUAAGUCAGUUGUGAAAGUUUGCGGCUCAACCGUAAAAUUGCAAUUGAUACUGGCAGUCUUGAGUACAGUUGAGGUAGGCGGAAUUCGUGGUGUAGCGGUGAAAUGCGUAGAUAUCACGAAGAACCCCGAUUGCGAAGGCAGCUUACUAAACUGUGACUGACAUUGAUGCUCGAAAGUGUGGGUAUCAAACAGGAUUAGAUACCCUUGUAGUC
rnacentral:rRNA from 1 species